rnacentral:lncRNA from 1 species
GGGAUUUUUGAGGUGGUGACAGAUUUUCAGCUAUGCAGCAUUUAUUUAUUUAUUUGCCCAUGAAGGGAUGAAAUACUGAAGCAACUGAACAUUUACAAAUGUUAUCACUCAUGGUACUGAAAGAUCAAGUAGCAGAACUAAAGAGACAAGCAGAUGCACUCAGAAAAAAAUCAAUGCAUAUGAGAUAUUUCUUUGAUGACACAUGCCUGGUUUUAGACUCCAAAGAGGUGACAGGAGAGGGAGACCAGCUGCAGGGAUGGAAAAGAUGAGUGAAAUAGAGAUAAGGCACAAGAGAAACAGGAUAAUAGGGAAGAUAACGACUGAGUAAUUGUGAAGAAAGAUAUUAAGAGAGGAAGGAAGCGUGACAAAAACAGUGAAUGCAGUAACAGUGUCUAGUGUAUCAAAUAUUGGAUUUCAUAGAUGGUGAAUCAGAAGUUCAAAUGUAACGCUGGAAAUACAUAAGAAAUGAAGUGACAAAACUGUGUAAUCGGCAUGAGGAUAUUUCUCACUAGUUGCAAAAUCAAAGCAGAGGAGGUGCUGCCUGUACCAAAUCUACCUUUUGGAUACUGGCCUCCUGUGGGUAUGCAGGAUUGCACACCCUCAGCCUGGAACAAGUCUGACCGGGUAAACACUCCCCUACAUGACACACAAUUCCUACUAAGGCACCAAUACACAGCACACCUGCAUGAUGGAUUUGUGCCCCAAAAGUGACAGAAGAGGAAUUCAAGAGCAAUGAAUUGACAACAGAUAAUCUGAUAAAAGACCAGAGCCAAAAUGAACAGAAAACAGACAGGAAUUCUAGGUAGAAUGGCAGCUGAUUUUGGAACAUAGAUUCAUAUUUGCAGGCACUUAAAUAUGGACUUUGCUUCAGAAAAAACAGCAUGCAAUAACAAUAUAACUGUCUUAAUAUUACUCCUGUAUGGCAACCAUAUUUCAUUCUCCUUUAAUGUACAACUUCUGAGAUAAGUUUCAAAGCUGUGCUCCAGAAAUGACUUAAUUUCUAGCCACUUUAUGUUGGAUAUUAUCAAAUACAAUAAGGACCAGUUACUGAUGAAUAUGAUAUGGCUGUUUUCUGUGUAUCUCUUGUGAUAGUUACAAGACUGGUUAACCAAAUUAAAACUUAGUGUGUGAUGGAAAAAAAAAUAAUAAUAAAAAAGAAAAACAACUUUAAAAAAUUAUAUGA